UCGAGCGAGCCAUGGGCGAAACUCAAGCGAAAAGCGUUCUGCUUUUGUCGCUCGAGCGAAGUCCAGGCGAGACUCGAGCGAAGUUCAAAUGUCAGAAAUAGCACUAAAAUUUUGAAUAUUUAGAAAAAGAACACAAUUAUCAAGAAAUGACGAAAUUAGCCCCAAAUCGUGUAUUUUCAAAAAUAAGACAAGUGCAGAGCAUCGGAAACUAAUCAAAAAAAAAUGAAGCAUGGGACCAAUUAUGUAAACUAUACCAACAAUAAGCAUAAAGUCAGAACCCCGACACUCAGCACAUAGACAAAUCGUAAGUCCACACAUAGUUCAAAAUCCCGUGGAGUAAAGUGUAUACAGAACAUCACCGUGAAAAGUGCC
rnacentral:lncRNA from 1 species